rnacentral:rRNA from 1 species
GGUGAACGCUGGCGGUAGGCCUAACACAUGCAAGUCGAACGGCAGCACAGGAGAGCUUGCUCUCUGGGUGGCGAGUGGCGGACGGGUGAGGAAUACAUCGGAAUCUACUCUGUCGUGGGGGACAACGUAGGGAAACUUACGCUAAUACCGCAUACGACCUACGGGUGAAAGCAGGGGAUCUUCGGACCUUGCGCGCUUGAACGAGCCGAUGUAGGAUUAGCUAGUUGGCGGAGUAAAGGCACACCAAGGCGACGAUCCGUAGCGGGUCUGCGAGGAUGAUCAGCAACACUGGAACUGAGACACGGUCCAGACUCCUACGGGAGGCAGCAGUGGGGAAUAUUGGACAAUGGGCGCAAGCCUGAUCCAGCCAUGCCGCGUGGGUGAAGAAGGCCUUCGGGUUGUAAAGCCCUUUUGUUGGGAAAGAAAUCCAGCUGGCUAAUACCCGGUUGGGAUGACGGUACCCAAAGAAUAAGCACCGGCUAACUUCGUGCCAGCCGCCGCCGUAA